rnacentral:rRNA from 1 species
GACGAACGCUGGCGGCGUGCUUAACACAUGCAAGUCGAACGGAAAGGCCUUUUCGGAGGUACUCGAGUGGCGAACGGGUGAGUAACACGUGGGUGAUUUGCCCUGCACUCUGGGAUAAGUCUGGGAAACUGGGUCGAAUACCGGAUAGGACCGCACUUCUGUGUGUGUGGUGGAAAGGUUUUUCGGUGUAGGAUGAGCCCGGGGGCUCUCAGGUUGUUGGUGGGGGAAUGGCCUACCAAGGCGGCGGCGGGUAGCCGGACUGGGGGGGUGGACGGCCACAUUGGGAAUGGGAUACGGCCCAGACUCCUACGGGGGGCAACAGGGGGGAAUAUUGCACAAUGGGCGCAAGCCUGAUGCAGCGACGCCGGGGGGGGGAUGACGGGCUUCGGGUUGGAAACUCCUUUCGCCAGGGACGAAGCGUUUUGUGACGGUACCGGGAGAAGAAGCACCGGCUAACUACGUG